CUCGCUCGCUGCUGCAACUGCCCCACGGAAGAAAAAAAAAGGAAUUCGCAGUACAAAAAUUCUCCGUUGGUUCCGAAUUUUCGAUCCAGUCCGCGCGCCGCCGGAUCGGAUGCGGGAAGCGGAGGCCGCCGCCGCCGUGUCCGGUCUCUGAAGUGGACGAGGAGCUGACCCCAUCUGGAGAAAUCCUAGUGUAGGAGUUGGUGCCUAUUUGUGUGCUUUGUCGCCUCCGUAGUUGUAGGCAAAAUGGACGGGGAAGUUGCUAGCAACGUGGCGCUUGAUUCUGCUGUUUUCCAUGUGAACUUAACCAAAAACAGGUACGAGGCAAUUGCUUGUAGCGAAGAGAGCGCUGAAUCGGUAGCAUCUGGUCCUUUUGAUCAGCUAGUCCUGCACUUGGAAGAUGCCAAAAACUUCCAAUCUCGUUCAUCAAGUGGCUCAUUUAAGCUGUUAUUGGCUGGAGAUG